rnacentral:rRNA from 1 species
UACGGGGGGGGGCAAGCGUUGUUCGGAAUUACUGGGCGUAAAGGGCUCGUAGGCGGCCAACUAAGUCAUACGUGAAAUCCCUCGGCUUAACCGGGGAACUGCGUCUGAUACUGGAUGGCUUGAGUUCGGGAGAGGGAUGCGGAAUUCCAGGUGUAGCGGUGAAAUGCGUAGAUAUCUGGAGGAACACCGGUGGCGAAGGCGGCAUCCUGGACCGACACUGACGCUGAGGAGCGAAAGCCAGGGGAGCAAAGCGGG